rnacentral:tRNA from 1 species
GGGAAUGUUGCUGAGCGGUCAAAGGCGAUAGACUGUAAAUCUAUUGAUAUUCUUCGCAGGUUCGAAUCCUGCCGUUCCCA